rnacentral:rRNA from 1 species
UACGUAGGGGGCAAGCGUUGUCCGGAAUUAUUGGGCGUAAAGCGCGCGCAGGCGGUCUCUUAAGUCUGAUGUGAAAGCCCCCGGCUCAACCGGGGAGGGUCAUUGGAAACUGGGAGACUUGAGGACAGAAGAGGAGAGUGGAAUUCCAAGUGUAGCGGUGAAAUGCGUAGAUAUUUGGAGGAACACCAGUGGCGAAGGCGACUCUCUGGACUGUAACUGACGCUGAGGCGCGAAAGCGUGGGGAGCGAACAGG